rnacentral:rRNA from 1 species
UACGUAGGGGGCGAGCGUUGUCCGGAUUUAUUGGGCGUAAAGAGCUCGUAGGCGGUUUGGCAAGUCGGGUGUGAAAACUCCGGGCUCAACUCGGAGACGCCACUCGAUACUGCUAUGACUCGAGUCCGGUAGGGGAGUGCGGAAUUCCUGGUGUAGCGGUGAAAUGCGCAGAUAUCAGGAGGAACACCGGUGGCGAAGGCGGCACUCUGGGCCGGUACUGACGCUGGGGAGCGAAAGCGUGGGGAGCGAACAGG